rnacentral:lncRNA from 1 species
UUGAUUUUUGCUCUGGUUGCCGGAAAAAUGGAAAUACUGAGGUGCAAUCUUCAAAUUUGGCCUUCCGAUCGUUAUGUACUGUCUUAUCCGGGAAAACCCUAUACCAACAAGUAUCAAAUCUGUGUUCACGCCAUUAACGCUCCAUCCAUGCUGUGUGCUUCUUCUAUUUCGAACGUUUCCUUCAGGAAUUAAGUAGCAAAUCAGUUUUCUAACUUGAAAAACCCUACAGAUCAGAACGUUUAAUCCCUCAAUUGCUGCGCC